rnacentral:misc_RNA from 1 species
GAUGAAGAACGUAGCGAAAUGCGAUAAGUAAUGUGAAUUGCAGAAUUCAGUGAAUCAUCGAAUCUUUGAACGCACAUUGCGCCCAUUAGUAUUCUAGUGGGCAUGCCUGUUCGAGCGUCAUUAAGUCCACUUAAGCCUAGCUUAGUGUUGGGAGACUGCUCCAGUGGUGCUACCCUGUAGCUACCCUGCAGCUCCUUAAAGACAGCGGCGGAGUCGUGUUAUCCUCUGAGCUUAGUAAAUCAUUCUAGCUUUCGAGAGUAUCACUUCAACGGCCGUUAAACCACCUAAUUUUUAUGGUUGACCUCGGAUCAGGUAGGAAUACCCGCUGAACUUAAGCAUAUCAAUAAGCGGAGGA